rnacentral:tRNA from 1 species
GACCUCUUCGUCCAGUGGUCAGGACACCGGGUUUUCAUCCCGGCAACACGGGUUCGACUCCCGUAGAGGUUA